rnacentral:rRNA from 1 species
UACGUAGGUGGCAAGCGUUGUCCGGAAUUAUUGGGCGUAAAGCGCGCGCAGGCGGUCCUUUAAGUCUGAUGUGAAAGCCCACGGCUCAACCGUGGAGGGUCAUUGGAAACUGGGGGACUUGAGUGCAGGAGAGAAGAGUGGAAUUCCACGUGUAGCGGUGAAAUGCGUAGAUAUCAGGAGGAACACCGGUGGUGUAGACGGCUUCUGGACCGUAACUGACGCUGAGACACGAAAGCGUGGGGAGCAAACAGG